CUCUCGGUCUCUCUCACUGUAUAAUCUCUCUCUCUCUCUCUCCACACUCUCUCUCUACACACACACACUCUAUCUUUCUUGUUUUCCUCUAUGUAAGUUCAUCUUCGAUUUCUUGAUAUCAUCGGAUUUUUCAAAAUUGAGGAUUCUGAUCGUGUUUGUUGCGGAGGAACUUUCGCGAUGAAAAGAAGCGAUCAACCGAAGAUUUCUCCAGCUUCCCAUACAUAUGUAUGGUGCUGAAUGUGUCGUUGUGGAGUUACUACAGAAUCAUCAAACCAGAUACAUUGCUUAUCGCUGCCGUCAAUGGAUCUGGCAUUGUUAUUUCCACCUUCUACCUCUCUCUUUAUCUCGUAUUUGCUCCUCCGAAGGCUAGGGUGGUACGACGGCGGUAGCGGCGGUGAUGGAUGUAGGGAUUGUGGCGGCGGCGAUAUGGGUGAGUAGGUGGGAAUUGGAGGGAGAAUCGAGCAUCAGUUUUACUGGGAGUUGGCGUGGCGUCGGUGGUGCCGGUGGUUAUGGCUGGUGCAUCGAAAGAGUGCAACAAGAGCUGAUUUGGUACAUCCAAAUAUAAAGAUACGAUUAGAUUAUAAUUUUGUAAUUAAAUGUUUUUGAAUUCACAACUUAAUCUUCUUGAAUUCACAACUAGAUCUAUGAUUGAAUUCACAACUAAAA